rnacentral:pre_miRNA from 1 species
UAUUAGGUUGGUGCAAAAGUAAUUGUGGUUUUUGCCAUUGAAAACAAUGGCAAAGAACCACAGUUACUUUUGCAUCAACUUAAUA